CACGGGAGGCAGCAGUAGGGAAUCUUCCACAAUGGACGAAAGUCUGAUGGAGCAACGCCGCGUGUGUGAUGAAGGGUUUCGGCUCGUAAAACACUGUUGUAAGAGAAGAAUGACAUUGAGAGUAACUGUUCAGUGUGUGACGGUAUCUUACCAGAAAGGAACGGCUAAAUACGUGCCAGCAGCCGCGGUAAUACGUAUGUUCCAAGCGUUACCCGAAGGUAUUGGGCGUAAAGCGAGCGCAGACGGUUGUUUAAGUCCGAAGUGAAAACCGAGAGCUUAACUGUGGAAGUGCUUUGGAAACUGAGUAACUUGAGUGCAGUAGAGGAGAUUGGAACUCCAUGUGUAGCGGUGAAAUGCGUAGAUAUAUGGAAGGACACCAGUGGCGAAGGCGGCUCUCUGGACUGUAACUGACGUUGAGGCUCGAGAGUGUGGGUAGCGAACAGGAUUAGAUACCCCGGUAGUC
rnacentral:rRNA from 1 species